GACGUAGGGUGCGAGCGUUGUCCGGAUUCAUUGGGCGUAAAGGGUGCGUAGGCGGCGCGGUAAGUCGGGUGUGAAAUCUCGGAGCUUAACUCCGAAACUGCAUUCGAUACUGCCGUGCUUGAGGACUGGAGAGGAGACUGGAAUUUACGGUGUAGCGGUGAAAUGCGUAGAUAUCGUAAGGAAGACCAGUGGCGAAGGCGGGUCUCUGGACAGUUCCUGACGCUGAGGCACGAAGGUCAGGGGAGCAAACGGG
rnacentral:rRNA from 1 species